CACCAAGGAAGCUACAGCUGUGUUUAUCACCUCUUGGUUUUUUCUCAUAACUUCUCCUCUGAGAGCCGUCGGCUGUCGCUCACUGUCUCAGAUCCAACAGGUCUUCUCAUCAAAGUGGUCGUCCUGCCGCUGACUCUGCUGUUGGUGAUCGCUGCCCUUUGUUUCUACCGUAAGGCCAGCAGGGGGCAGAAGCCGGGCAGGCAGGAGGACAUCGAGCUGGAUUAUUAUAACCUGGGUGUUUCUGCAGCUGAAGGAGGGCCGACUGAAGAGGAAGGAGCUCAGGGAGCAGAGUAGGACCUCCAAGGAGCUCAUCUCAGCUGCCUCACAACCCACCAUCAGCUCAGUCCAGGAUUUUACUCUUUUCUAGUGAUGUUCCCUUUAAACAAUACAGCUGGAAUUAUUAGAUUACAUUAGACACUAUUUUUAUUAUUCUCAACAAGAAAAGAGCAAAACCAACAGUGUGUUAGUCUUUUCAGACUUCUUGUCUGUGGCUCUCAGCUCCAAGCCCAUUGGAAGACUAUGCCUUUGGUGUGAGAGACUCGGGUUCAAUCCCCCACUGUGACCCAUCCGCCAUU